GCGGGUUUGGUUUUGAUUAAUGCUCGGUCUCAAAUUUGGGAAACAGCUCCUUUCGUAGCUUUUCGAAUAGUUUGAGAGUUUACAAUUUAUCUUAACAUGGAGUGAUGGAAGGUUUGAAGGCGCAAGAGGAAGGUUGAGAGAACCGGCAAUGGCCGCCAUUAAGGUUUGUCUCUGGAACUGAAACACAGUCGUCUCGUCUCUUACAUUU
rnacentral:misc_RNA from 1 species